UACGUAGGGUGCGAGCGUUGUCCGGAAUUAUUGGGCGUAAAGAGCUCGUAGGCGGUGUGUCACGUCGGCCGUGAAAACCUGCAGCUUAACUGUGGGCGUGCGGUCGAUACGGGCAUCACUGGAGUUCGGCAGGGGAGACUGGAAUUCCUGGUGUAGCGGUGAAAUGCGCAGAUAUCGGGAGGAACACCAAUGGCGAAGGCAGCUUGCUGGGACGGUACUGACGCUGAGGCGCGAAAGCGUGGGGAGCAAACAGG
rnacentral:rRNA from 1 species